UACGAAGGGGGCUAGCGUUGCUCGGAAUCACUGGGCGUAAAGGGCGCGUAGGCGGCCGAUCAAGUCGGGGGUGAAAGCCUGUGGCUCAACCACAGAAUUGCCUUCGAUACUGUUUGGCUUGAGACCGGAAGAGGUAAGUGGAACUGCGAGUGUAGAGGUGAAAUUCGUAGAUAUUCGCAAGAACACCAGUGGCGAAGGCGGCUCACUGGCCCGGUACUGACGCUGAGGUGCGAAAGCGUGGGGAGCAAACAGG
rnacentral:rRNA from 1 species